CAAAUACUCCCUCCGUCCGAAAAUACUUGUCAUCAAAAUGGAUAAAAGGAAAUGUAUCUAGACGUAUUUUAGUUUGACAUACAUCUCUUUUUAUCCAUUUUGAUGACAAGUAUUUUCGGAUGGAAGGAGUAGAAA
rfam:Triticum aestivum genome assembly, contig: Triticum_aestivum_CS42_TGACv1_scaffold_026279_1AS